UCUCUCUCAGCCUCAUCUCCCUCUUCCCCUUCUUGGAUCUCUUCCCCUUCCUGGAUCUCUCUCAGCCUCAUCUCCUCCUCCUUCCUCUCUUCGCUCUUCCCGGCUAAGGUAGGGGCCGAUGAGAUCCGAACAGCGAGAGGACGCCCACGACCACCAUGGCACGGUUGGUUGGCAACGUGAGGGAAUCCGAAGGAAGAGAGAACAACACCGAGAUCUCUGAUCUUGUGUAAAGGGGUCUCCUUCUUCUGAAGCAGAGAGAUCGAGUGCAGUACGAGAAUAACGAAGUAUGUCUGCCUGCUAAAACCCUAAAAUUACAGGCAUAAAGGGCUCUCCGUGCUUCAUUUUCUCCUUCUCGACCUCUUCGCUCGCUGGGUACACGGUCAUCUUCAAAACCUCUCGUUUCCUCUUUUCAUUCUUCUUAAUCGUCUGAUUGCUAAAGGUUGAGGAUGGGGCGGGGGAGGGUUGAGGUGAGGAGAAUAGAGAACAAGAUCAAUAGGUAGGUGACCUUCUCCAAGAGGAAGGCCGGGCUGCUGAAGAAGGCCGGGCUGCUGGAGGGAUCGCCCUCCCCUCCCGAAUAAGAGAUUUUUAUCUCAUGCCUUCUUGUCCAUUAUUGGAUUUUCAUCUGACUUUGGUUGUCGAUAAGUUUCUACAUGCCUAACCUAAUUAGCGUUUUUCUUAGACAGCGCUCCGUUCGUGCAAAAUGUUAAUAUUAUGUCUAUUUCUUGAGAUUUUUCAGUUAUGGAAUCAGUGACAUAUCAUGCAUGUACUAGUGCAAAAUCUUGGCUAAGAAUGAAUGAAUUAGUUUUUGUCUGUCUCCAUCUGCUUAACUUGAUUAUGCGUGUUUACUUCAUUGGAAAUAAGAUAGAUAAAAAAGAAAAUCAAAAUGAUGAAUUCGUCAAUUUCUCUAUUUGACAUGAAGAGAAGAAAGGAAUUUACUUUCAUCAAUUUUUUUUUUUAAAUUUUGUUUCAUCCAAUUCUUUCAUCUAAUUAGGCCAAAUGGCCAAUGCAAAUAGAUCUCCUGUUUGAAUUUUUUAUUCUAUUUUUUUUAAGUGUCUUUAUAAUUAUGUUUGCUAAACGUGCUUCACAAUCAUCUUCUUGUUUUAACUGUCCAUUCACAGUUUUACUUGAAUUCACAUCUCUCAAAACAAUGAUUGAACUUUAUUGUUAUGUCCAAGUCUCUUCCUCAAUGUUCUACUUGCUUAUUUGGAAGCUUAAUUGUUUUACAAUGUCACUUGGAAGUUGCAAAAGUGACCUUGCAUGUGAGCUAUAAAAAAAAAUCUACUUGUCAAUACAUUUGAAGCAACAGUAAGGCUGCUUUUUAGGCAAACAGAUCGAUGCAACUUGUCCAGGUAUUUAGUUCCUGAUCUCAAGUAAUCAUUUGAACAGAUGGAGCUCUUGUUGCUUCAGUCACAUUGCUUCUAGUUUUUUAGUAAAAGUGUGGUGGGAUUGAAGGUUUCCAGGCAACAAUGCCAUCAAUUUUCAAACACCCUGCACAUGUACCAAUGUGGAGGGGAGCCAAGGUCGCCUAUCUUCUAAUAGCAAUGUGUUUAUUCCCUAUUGCCAUUGGAGGCUUUUGGGCUUAUGGUAACCUAAUGACUCAAGGAGGAAUACUAAAUGCCCUUUAUAUAUAUCACAGCCAUGAUAUCCCAAGAGGGCUUCUAGCAACAACAUUCCUCUUGGUUGUGUUUAACUGCCUCAGCAGUUUUCAGAUAUACUCCAUGCCUAUUUUUGACAGCUUUGAAGCAGGUUAUACAAGCCGAACAAAUCGACCCUACUCGAUUUGGGUUCGAUCUGGCUUCCGAGUAUUUUAUUCUUAUUAGGAUAUGAAGCAGAAGCAGUACUAGUUUCUUUGGAGCUAGUAGGGUAGAACUACCUAGUCAAGGGGAUGACAAUGUGGAGACAAGGACUUUGGAAGAGUUGGAAGAGUUAUUGGAAUUUUCUAGUCAGAAUAGGACAUCCUUGACUCGAAUUAUGCUGGAUAAUAUGGUGGUUCCUCUUCCAAACGGAGAUGUGGAUGUCUCAAUGCUGAAGGAUGCAGUUCAGUUGGUUAAUGGUAGAUUUGAGACUAAGUUCUUCUGCUGCGCUGUAUCUCUUUAAAGGCUUUUAAGCCCCCACACUAUAUGCAGUGAAGUUAACAACAUGCGUGAAAAAGAAAAAUGCUCGACUUAAGAAUUUUGUUUCCACAUUUGUUACGUAGAGCAGAGAUAAGUUUGUGGAUUAUAGAGACUCCUUGAGCAACUUUGAGAAACAAAUGCAGUAGUAGAUUGCUGGUGCAAGCCACGCAAAUCAAUAAACUUACAUGGCCAAGCCGCAGUUCUUUCUUUUCCUCUCGCUGGAAAUCAUAUCAGCAACAGCUCUGGUUGUUCUUGGUCAGUCUUCAUCUGGAGAUUCAAUGACGCCGAACAGCUCACUUAUCGAUGGCCAGACCUUGAUAUCAGCGGGAGGCGUAUUCCAGCUUGGCUUCUUCAGUCCUGAUCAAGAUUCGGAGAAUGGAUCAGGACUGAAGAAUCGCCCGCCGGGACAAAGCAUAGUAUUGAUGAAUGUUUCUCUUUUUAAGUAUUCCAAUUAGUCAUCUUGUUACCUGGUGCUCUUACUGCUUUUUCAACUAUAAUUUUUAGUCUUGG